rnacentral:rRNA from 1 species
CCUCGGGAGGCAGCAGUGGGGAAUACUGCACAAUGGGGGAAACCCUGAUGCAGCGACGCCGCGUGAGUGAAGAAGUAAUUCGUUAUGUAAAGCUCUAUCAGCAGGGAAGAAAAUGACGGUACCUGAGUAAGAAGCCCCGGCCAACUACGUGCCAGCAGCCGCGGCACUCCGUAGGGGGCAAGCAUUAUCCGGAUUUACUGGGUGGAAAGGGAGCGUGGGCGGCAGUGCAAGUCUGGAGUGAAAGGCGGGGGCUCAACCCCCGGACUGCUCUGGAAACUGUAAGGCUGGAGUGCAGGAGAGGUAAGUGGAAUUCCUAGUGUAGCGGUGAAAUGCGUAGAUAUUAGGAGGAACACCAGUGGCGAAGGCGGCUUACUGGACUGUAACUGACGUUGAGGCUCGAAAGCGUGGGGAGCAAACAGGAUUAGAUACCCGGGUAGUC